CCCUUAGAUGUUCUGGGCCGCACGCGUGCUACACUGAGUGGAUCAGCGGGUCAGGUUGCGCGAAAGUGCUUCCUAAUCUUGAAAUCCGCUCGUGAUGGGGAUUGACGGUUGCAAUUUUCUGUCAUGAACGAGGAAUACCUUGUAAGCGCGGGUCAUCAUCCCGCGCUGAAUACGUCCCUGCCCUUUGUACACACCGCCCGUCGCUCCUACCGAUUGAGUGGUCCGGUGAGGCUUUGGGAUCUGGAUGGAAAGAGCGUUUCGCUGUUUCUGCCCGGAAAACUCAGUCGAACCUUAUCAUUUAGAGGAAGGAGAAGUCGUAACA
rnacentral:rRNA from 1 species